CGGUGGGGGGGUGCUAAUACAUGCAAGUCGAGACGAGUGUGAAUCUCAAGAGCUUGCUCUUAUGAAGUUAGCGGCGGACGGGUGAGUAACACGUGGGUAACCUGCCCAUAAGACUGGGAUAACUCCGGGAAACCGGGGCUAAUACCGGAUAACAUUUUGAACCGCAUGGUUCGAAAUUGAAAGGCGGCUUCGGCUGUCACUUAUGGAUGGACCCGCGUCGCAUUAGCUAGUUGGUGAGGUAACGGCUCACCAAGGCAACGAUGCGUAGCCGACCUGAGAGGGUGAUCGGCCACACUGGGACUGAGACACGGCCCAGACUCCUACGGGAGGCAGCAGUAGGGAAUCUUCCGCAAUGGACGAAAGUCUGACGGAGCAACGCCGCGUGAGUGAUGAAGGCUUUCGGGUCGUAAUACUCUGUUGUUAGGGAAGAACAAGUGCUAGUUGAAUAAGCUGGCACCUUGACGGUACCUAACCAGAAAGCCACGGGUAACUACGUGCCAGCAGCCCGCGGUAAUACGUAGGGGGCAAGCGUUAUCCGGAAUUAUUGGGCGUAAAGCGCGGGCCAGGUGGUUUCUUAAUUCUGAUGUGAAACCCCACCGGCUCAACCCUGGAGGGUCAUUGGAUAGUGGGGAGACUUUGAUGCUA
rnacentral:rRNA from 1 species